rnacentral:rRNA from 1 species
UACGUAGGGUGCAAGCGUUGUCCGGAAUUAUUGGGCGUAAAGAGCUCGUAGGCGGUUUGUCGCGUCGGGAGUGAAAACUCAGGGCUCAACCCUGAGCGUGCUUCCGAUACGGGCAGACUAGAGGUAUGCAGGGGAGAACGGAAUUCCUGGUGUAGCGGUGAAAUGCGUAGAUAUCUGGAGGAACACCGGUGGCAAGGAGGCA